rnacentral:tRNA from 1 species
GCGCUAGUGGUGGAACGGUAGACACCCUGGUCUUAGGAACCAGUUUUUGGGGGUUCGAAUCCCUCCUAGCGUACAA